CGCGGGGUGGAGCAGUCUGGUAGCUCGUCGGGCUCAUAACCCGGAGGUCGCAAGUUCAAAUCUUGCCCCCGCACCUA
rnacentral:tRNA from 1 species